GUGAAACUGGUCCGGUACAUCAACAGACAGCGGCAGUGUAAGCUGAGCGUACCCCUGAAUGACCGGACAGUGGAGCUCAACAGCUACCCAAGAUUCAAUGACUGGUUAGAUCUCGUCAAUGUAAAGAGAGAAGUUGUACAGAGAAUCCCAGAGGAGCUAACCCUAGAUGUCUUACUGGAUAUGAACGAGUCCAAGGUGAAAGAAACCAUGAAGAGAUGUGGGGCCAGUGAUGAGGAGUGUUCCAGACUCAAUGGGGCUCUCACCUGCUUAAGGAAGGUGACCGAAUCAGGUGGGGAGUUAAAAGAAGAUCUGUUGUGGAAUCUUUCUGAUGCGCGCCGAGAGAGCAGCUCUGCACACCCUGCAGAACUCUCCUGUCCGCCAGGACCCACGUGGACUCACGGCAUACUGCAUCUUUCAAAGGGCAACAGCCAGCAGGCGCGCUCCGUGUCCGUGUCUGCUCUACCUUCUUCAGAUUCUCUUGCCUCGAGCCAAGGACCUUCUAGCUAUACAGACCACUUCCUGGAACCAUUAGCCUUCCCCACCCACAGCGGUCGAGUCUUAUUUAGGACUCCUCAAAGCAUGACCAUCACACCGCCGACGACACCUCAGCUAAAGAGACGGCACAAAUUGAAACCUCCACGGACUCCGCCUCCGCCUUGCCGGAAGGUCUUUCAGCUGCUACCAAACUUUCCAACGCUCACAAGAAGCAAGUCCCAUGAAUCACAGCUGGGCAACAGGAUAGAUGAAGUUCCUCCUCUAAAGUUUGACUUCCCCCAGGGAUCCCCUCAGAUGGUACGAAGAGACAUUGGCAUAUCUGUAACACACAGAUUCUCUACAAAAUCUUGGUUAUCUCAGAUGUGCCACGUGUGUCAGAAAAGCAUGAUGUUCGGUGUGAAGUGUAAGCACUGCAGAUUAAAGUGUCAUAACAAAUGUACUAAAGAGGCCCCUGCUUGCAGAAUAUCUUUCCUUCCCAUUGCAAAAAUAAGAAGGACGGAGUCUGUCCCUUCUGAUAUUAAUAACCCUGUGGAUAGACCUGCAGAGCCGCAGUUUGGAACCCUUCCAAAAGCACUAACGAAAAAGGAUCACCCCCCAGCAAUAAACCAUCUAGACUCCAGCAGUAACCCAUCUUCUACAACCUCCUCCACGCCAUCUUCUCCAGCACCUUUCCAAUCUUCCAAUCCUCCCAGCGCAACGCCUCCCCCAAAUCCCUCCCCCAUGGGCCAGCGGGACUGCCGGUUUCACUUUCCAGCUGCCUACUACAUUCAGCAUAGACAACAGUUUAUCUUCCCAGAAAUUCCCAGCCCCCCACAAGUAAUACAGCCACCUGAAACAGCUGAAGACACUAAUGCUGAUGAACAGCUGGACAUAGAGGGGGCUGAAGAACCUGAUGCAGAGGUCGAAGAGCAAGAGACGAAUAAAUCGGAACCGGAGGACGACGAGGACGAGUUAGAUGACUUGCCCAGCAAGCGGCCACAUUGGAAAGGGGUGAUCUCUCGCAAGGCCAGCCAGACCAGCGUCUACCUGCAGGAGUGGGAUAUUCCCUUUGAACAGAUUGAGCUGGGGGAACCCAUUGGCCAAGGGCGAUGGGGGAAGGUUUACAGGGGGAAAUGGCACGGAGAGGUGGCAAUCAGGCUGUUGGAGAUCGAUGGGAACAAUCAGGACCAUCUCAAACUCUUUAAGAAGGAGGUGAUGAAUUACAGGCAGACCCGACAUGAGAACGUGGUGCUCUUCAUGGGGGCGUGCAUGCACCCCCCUCAUUUAGCCAUUAUUACCAGCUUUUGCAAAGGAAGGACGCUUCACUCAUUUGUAAGGGAUCCCAAGGUAUCUCUGGAUAUUAACAAAACCAGGCAGAUUGCUCAAGAAAUCCUUAAGGGCAUGGGGUAUCUUCAUGCAAAGGGGAUUGUGCAUAAAGAUUUGAAGUCCAAGAAUGUCUUCUAUGACAAUGGCAAAGUGGUGAUCACAGACUUUGGACUAUUCGGUAUUUCGGGUGUGGUUCAGGAGGGAAGGCGUGAAAAUGAACUGAAGUUGCCCCAUGACUGGCUGUGCUAUCUGGCCCCUGAAAUCGUUCGUGAGAUGUCUCCUGGGAAAGACGAAGACAAGCUGCCCUUCUCCAAAGCUGCAGACGUCUAUGCUUUUGGGACGGUUUGGUAUGAGCUCCAAGCAAGAGAAUGGCCUUUCAAGAGCCAGCCAGCUGAAGCACUCAUCUGGCAGAUCGGAAGCGGAGAAGGAGUGAAGCAUGUCCUUGCUACAGUUAGUGUAGGGAAAGAAGUCAGUGAAAUCCUCUCAGCAUGUUGGUCUUUCGACCUCAGUGAGAGACCCAGCUUUACUCUUCUCGUGGAUAUGCUUGAAAAACUGCCAAAACUGAACCGAAGGCUGUCGCAUCCCGGACACUUCUGGAAAUCUGCAGAGUGGGGAAACAGAGGUCUUGUGGAGCAGCCGCUCUGGGGCUGCAUCCUAACUAGGAGAAAAGGUUUUUACCCCCUAGAUAAGUAACGCACAUCUACCACCUCGCUUUGUGAAGACCAGACCCGUGCAUCUUCCAGCCUCCCAGAAUGGGAACUAUGGCCAAGAUCCUCCCAGGUAUUUAGGUGCUUAAUUCCUAUUGGCUUCAAUGGGUGAUAAGUACUGAAAUACCUGGCACAAUCUGGGCCUAUGAUCCCAUUUCUGGCUGCAGGUUUUCCAGGAGGCUUCUCUGUGCUGUCUCUGCCAGAAUUAAAUAUUCAGGCCAGAUCCUGCAAACAGUUGUUAGUCUGGACCCUUCAGGCUGUGGGGAGCCCCCCUGAAGCCAUGAGUGGAAUGCAAGGGUCUGCAAACAGUACAUCAGUUUGAAGGCUCUGGAUCUUAAUUUUUAAUAUCGGUAAUUCCCUUUUCUAUUGUACUCUUGCCCUUUAAAAUUUCUGUCUAGCGUUAUUACAGCAGACCGCUUUUCUGAGUUAAUGUGGUAAGAUGCUUCAUCAUUUGCCUUGGGCAUCAGAUUUAGAUUUAAAUAUUUUGUUGCUAAAAAUAAUGAGAGGGUGCCCAGUCUUUCAGAAAGAGGCAGUGGAAGCAGAACUCUAAGGGUAGAGAUGUACCAGUGGAAAGAAUGCCAAGUGUAGGAAAAGACUGGCACUGUGCGUUUUAGGUGUAUACAUAAAAUACCUGUGCUCCCAGGUAACACUAAGCAAGUGGGCAAAUGCUUUAGCUAAAAUAAAGGUCUUGUUUUGCUGGAUAGUGUAGCAGAUAGAUGUCCAAUCAGGUGCUCCCCUCCAUCCCAUUAUAUGUAUAUCAGGUGUGAUAUCACAUGCACAUUCCAGCCGCAGCAAACUGGGAGAGAGCUGCUGGUACUGGUACAUGACUUCUGCUAUAAAACUGUCUGGUGUUGGCACUUACGGGAAAUACAGUCCCUUGGGGGAAAAUCCUAGUCCCACUGAAGUACAGGUGGUUUGCUAGUGACUUCAGUGGGGCUAGGAUUAGACACUUCAAUGAAAACAAAUACUUGUGGCAGUUCUAUUUCAGACAUUUCUCCCCCCCAUGCACAUUACGGCAUGCAGACAAAAUGGGGCUGUGGAAGUGCUUUGAAAUUUUAGUUCAUGUUUUCAAAUUCGGGGAUGGGGGUCGCAGCUGAUUUCUUUCUUUAGGACAUGCAAAAUGACAGCCAUGCUUCUAGAGGCCACAUAUGAAAAUCUGGCCCCCAAUUUUUUUUCACAGAGCGAACAAGAUGGAAGAAAGGAUUCCUAACUUCCAUAUUCCAGCCAAUGUCAUAACAAGUAGAUGCUAAAUCAACACAUGCUCAGUCUCUUACAAAUACUGUGUUCAAAUGUUUAUAAUGUGUGUUGAAUGUAAAGCUGGUUUGUAUGGUAGUUACUGAUCCCACCGUAACUUUAUUUAAUUAAACGAAUAAAACCCCUUGAGUGUAACUGUAUUUGUAGCAAGCUAUUUACACCAUAUGGUUUUGCUAAUGAAAAAAAUACUAAUAUUUGCUCGUCUCUCCAAAGCUGAAGACUGAAUUGUGCCAUCAGUAAUGAGCAGAAUUCAGUUUCAUUAGAAGAUUUUGCUUAAAUAUUGAUGGCACGAUGUGCCUAAAUGAAGGGGGAAAUUAGUCUUCAGCGUGUCUGUAAAAACAAGAUGUUAAGACUUAUUAGACAAAACCUCCAUUAGCUUCAGAAAGUGUUUUUUGGCUAAGUAAAGAUCUUGUGAUUCAAAAUUGUUCCGUUGUAUACUUUUAGUCCUUGAGUUCUGAAUUAUUAGUCCUUCAUGUAACUGAAGAACAUGACUCUGGUUUGAAUAUGUGGCACUGGAAACAACCUUGAUGUACUCAAAGCAAUUAGUUUCUGCAACCUGUGUGGGUAAAACAGGACCCUACAGCAGGGGGUCCCAAACCUUUGGUGAGGCACAUCUUGGUAAGGUGAUGGUCUUCAAUGCUCAUCCCCUCUUAUUUUCCAUAUCAUAGACCACUGACUUCUCAUAGUUGUGUUAACCAUUCUCCCUCCCAUUCAUUAGCAGCUAGCCUUCCUGUGGCAACAUGCAAAAGUAAUGGGAAAGUGAUGCAUUCUUAACUGUCCUUUAAUAAAAUUAUCAGCUAGGAGAGUCAGCACCAUCUGACUAGCCAGUUCUCUGUCUAGUGCAGUUUGAGAUCCACUACCCAAAAGUUAUUUGCACAUUUUAGAAAUAUUAUUUACAGAAACACAGGGCUAUGUUGCCCAUCCCUUUUUAAGUAGAACUCCCAGACACAUUUCAAUGGGAAUGGCACAAUAGCCCCAGUAUAGGGCUCUUUAUAUCCCAGCACAGGUUAGGGACAGAUUCUGAUACCCUUACCCACAUCGAGUGGCACUUUUCUCUGCCUAUGCUAUGUUGAGAACUGCUCGGUGGGCCUGAUCUUCAGCAGGCGCGUGUUGAGAUCAAUGGAGUGACGCUGAUUUACGCUAGUUGAAGACCUGGUCUGAUGUGAGUUAAGGUAUUAGAAUCCUGCAGUUUAUUCUUUUAACGGUCUAAUAUCUUGGAUCUAACAUUGUUUGGUUAUUUUAAAGAAGAGCUUACAAGAGCCUGGGCUGUGAAUGGUGUCUUUGGGUCUGAUUGCUGGUGAAAAUGGGAAGUAACUCGAUGUCAAAUGGUGUGAAAAGCAUCAGGCCCAUUUAUUCCUUAACACGUGUUGCUAACUGAACUGGGUCUUUAUGCUGCAUUGUUUUAUGAUCGUUUGUACUAUUUCUUCUUGUGGUGAUGUUAUGUAAGGGAAUGACCAGCACUGUAAGCCUGUAUUGUUUUAGCCUUGUAAAUGUGAAGCUUGCUGUACAAUACUGCUACAAUAGCCACGACUUCUGUAGUGUAUGUAAAUGGAGUCUGUAAUAUGGUGAAAAUUGACAUUUUCUUUUCAAAUGUGAUGUAAACUUUGUACAGUAAAUUUUUUUUUAUAUUUUCUAUCAACUGAGUUUGUCUUCCAGAAUUGCUAUUAAUUUAAUUAAAAUUGUUAGUAUUAACAAAGGGUUAGUUUAUGCAACUGGCAAAAAAAAAAAAAAAAAAAAAAAUUGCACUCUACGCUAAUGAAAUUCUGGAUAUUUAGGAUUCUUUUCUGUGAAUAAAUCUCUGCUCUGGAUAAAACAAAAGUCCAUGGAAUUGUGGGGUGUUUUUGUUAGACUUAUGGUUGUUUUACGAUAUAAGCAGAUUUCCAAACUGACUGAAUAUUCAUAUAGCACCUUUGGUGCUGAAAGAUCUGAGUAUUUUACAAAUACAUUUUAUUACAGGACUGCCUAGUGAACCCAGGAAUUCCUUAUGCCAGAUGCUGUACAAACCCAUAGUCAGAGACAGUUCUCCUAGAAUGCUCAGACUCUAAAUAGACACAAUAGAGAAGAGAAACAAUAGGGUGAAGUGACAUGCCCAAUGUCACACACCAAGUCAGUGGUCAAGUUAGAAAUAAAACCCAGCGUCUCUCCCAAUCCUCUAGACCACAUCGUCUCCCCUAUGUUAUAGUAUACAUACUAACCAUUAAAGGAAGCACUUCUGGCAUUGUAAACAUAAAAAGAAUUACAGGAAGGGUGGCUAGCAGAAAAGAGAAAGCACAAGGGUGACAGUAAUUUCACAUGUCUGCUCAGCAGCUACAUACCAGCUUGAGAGGUUUAUUCGUUUUCUUUUAUGUCAUAGCUUCCCCCCCGGAAUCUCACUUUUCAUGAAUCAGAAAACACAAGUUUGUU